CAGCAAACACCGAAAAUGAAAAAUGCAUCAAAAUAAUAAGAGCAGUGAAUGAGCGGAGACCGGGACAUGGCCGCCCCUGGAAAGUGCUUGCUGGUCACUGGCCCUCCUGGUGUGGGUAAAACCACUCUAAUUAUGCGAGUUCUUGAGAGCCUCAAAACCUCUAACCCAAACUUGAAGAUUCAGGGUUUCUACACUCGUGAGAUUAGGGAAGAAAGUGAAAGGGUUGGCUUCGAAGUUGUCACUUUGGACGGUC
rnacentral:misc_RNA from 1 species